UACGUAGGGGGCAAGCGUUAUCCGGAUUUACUGGGUGUAAAGGGAGCGUAGACGGCAAUGCAAGUCUGGAGUGAAAGGCGGGGGCCCAACCCCCGGACUGCUCUGGAAACUGUAUAGCUGGAGUGCAGGAGAGGUAAGUGGAAUUCCUAGUGUAGCGGUGAAAUGCGUAGAUAUUAGGAGGAACACCAGUGGCGAAGGCGGCUUACUGGACUGUAACUGACGUUGAGGCACGAAAGCGUGGGGAGCAAAUAGG
rnacentral:rRNA from 1 species